GGGGUGUGUUGUGGUUGGGUUGUUGUGUGUGGUGUUCUGCUAAGUGCCAUCAAGUAUUGUUUUUAUUAGAUUUACAACUAAUCAUUUCAUGAUCUCCCUGUGGGCAUACUUUAGCGAGGAAUAAAUAAUGCUAGAGCUUGUGAUAUAAUAUAAAAGUUGGCCUUGGUGACUCUGUUGUUUUAGGUGUCAUGAUAAAGCUUUGGAUUCUUCCUGCAGAGUGCAAAGAAUUUUAUGCUAUGGUUAUUUUAAAGGACAUCAGCAUAAACUGGUAAUUAUAAUUCUAGAUGGAGUAUAAAUUUUAUCGAGUUGCAUGUCUGUGGUUCAUCCCAAAAAACCAUGGAUGUAUUUAAUCAUGGUAUACAGAUCACUUGUGUUUUGAAGUUGAGAUCUUUCUUGGAAUAAUGUGGAGCAAUAUAUCUGUACCAAGAUGAACUUUUGUAUGAAUAUCAAAUUCCUAAUAUGUGUAUCUUUCACUUAUGAUUGUACUUGUAUAGAUUUUUCAGGCAUAGGAAACUGUUGCUAACGACAUGAAUAAUGAUUUUAGGGCUACUGUUCUUAUAUAUCCCGAAUUUUAUCCAAUUUUAUUGAUUCAGUUCAUGAG
rnacentral:misc_RNA from 1 species